CGACAGGAGACCACACUGCCCUUUCUGACUCCACCUUUUCACCUGGCCCAAGGUCCUUAUCUCCUCCUUCCUCAGGAGGUGAGCAAAACUCAGGAUGACUCAACUGGAACACAUCGGUCAUGCGGUAUAUGUACAUGAGGUAAUAACAGACGCAUGACGGUAUGUGUACAUGAGACCGGCAGAUGCUGUGGCCCUAGGAGGCUGUCCUACACAACUCUGGCUUUCUGGAGACUCAGUUCCAGCUGGUGACAGCUGGUUUCUGGGGCCCUGUUUUAUCUUUCCAAAGUGGGACCAGUGAGCGAUGAGUCACCCCCGUCCUCAGGACCCUGGAAACACCCUCUCCAACAGUCUCCCUGGAGACUCUCUCCCUGUGGCGCCUUGUGUCCCUGCCAGGAAUGUCUUGAAGUUGGAAAAUGCUCUUCUGGCUUCAAUCAAAUGAAACUCAGCUCAUAAAAUAUGAAGAAACAGAAGACAUCCAGCUUGGAAAGAAAGAAGAAAAAUGAUCUCUGUUUUCAGAAGACAUGAUCUUGUAUAUAGAAAAUCUGAAGACAGACACAAAAACAGUUAAGAGAGUUCAGCAAGGUUGUGGGAUAAGGAAUAAAUAUACAAAAAUAUAUCAUCAAUGCAUGAUCCAAAGUCAAAAUUAAGAAUAUUUCAUUUAUAAAAAUUAAAAAAGAAAUAGACUAGUUAUUAGUAAAUCUAACAAAAAAUUGCAGGACUUGUACACUGAACACCACAAAACAUUUAAAAAGUUUUCAAUAAUGGAAAGAUAGCUGUGUUCAUGGACUGGAA